rnacentral:rRNA from 1 species
AUUGAACGCUGGCGGCAGGCCUAACACAUGCAAGUCGAGCGGAUGAAGAGAGCUUGCUCUCUGAUUUAGCGGCGGACGGGUGAGUAAUGCCUAGGAAUCUGCCUGGUAGUGGGGGAUAACGUUCCGAAAGGAACGCUAAUACCGCAUACGUCCUACGGGAGAAAGCAGGGGACCUUCGGGCCUUGCGCUAUCAGAUGAGCCUAGGUCGGAUUAGCUAGUUGGUGAGGUAAUGGCUCACCAAGGCUACGAUCCGUAACUGGUCUGAGAGGAUGAUCAGUCACACUGGAACGGAGACACGGUCCAGACUCCUACGGGAGGCAGCAGUGGGGAAUAUUGGACAAUGGGCGAAAGCCUGAUCCAGCCAUGCCGCGUGUGUGAAGAAGGUCUUCGGAUUGUAAAGCACUUUAAGUUGGGAGGAAGGGCAGUAAGCUAAUAUCUUGCUGUUUUGACGUUACCGACAGAAUAAGCACCGGCCAACUUCGUGCCAGCCGCCGCUGUAAAAC